UUGAAAGGGAAACGAUUGAAGUCAGUCGUGCUGGCGCGAAAUCAACCUUCUCGUCUUGAGAUCACAUGGCGUGGCGAGCCUCAAAACCGUCACGAAGCGUGAACUCUUGGUGAAAUGGAGCACUUUCGUGUCCGCUGGUUAACAUCAAUUUCGAACGUCAUAAAAAGGCUGGAGGGAUGUGGCUCCUUCGGGAGUGUUAUAACCUUUAGCGGAAUGUGGUGUUCGGGAUUGAGGAUUGCAACGAAUACCUUUAGGGCUGUUCCACCUGGCUUCUCUUUGGUAUCCUGGUGACGACAGCUUGCUGACGUCUUUACGAUUCGCCUUUGAACAGGCUAGAGUGUGAGCAAAUUCGUUAAGGAUGUUGACGUA
rnacentral:rRNA from 1 species